UACGGAGGGGGCAAGCGUUGUCCGGACUUACUGGGCGUAAAGCGUGCGUAGGCGGUCCGCAAAGUCUGAUGUGAAAGCCCCGGGCUCAACCUGGGAACUGCAUUGGAAACUAACGGGCUCGAGUGUGGCAGAGGGGGGGUGGAAUUCCGCGUGUAGCAGUGAAAUGCGUAGAUAUGCGGAGGAACACCGAUGGCGAAGGCAAUCCCCUGGGCCUGCACUGACGCUCAUGCACGAAAGCGUGGGGAGCAAACAGG
rnacentral:rRNA from 1 species